rnacentral:lncRNA from 1 species
CUAUGCAAACAUUAGUGGGUUUCCUUAUUUUCUUACUAAUUUUUUAGUCUUUCUUCUUUAUUUUCUUUUGCUAGUUUUUCUUGAUUCUUUCUCUUCUUCUUCCAUCCCUUCUUCUUCUUCUUUUCAUUCUCCUCCUUUAAUGGCUAGCUCUGAGAAUCCCAGUGAGAAUCGGUCCUUCGAGUCUUCUUCUUCUUUGGGGUGAAAUCUCAUAGAUUCCAGUAUUGGGCAUGAGGUCGGACCACCUUUUGUGCCUGGCAUCAUUGGGUCCAUAUUAGACUAGGGGGACCUAAGUCUGAUCCAGACUCAAUAUAGAACUCCUUCUUCAUAUGAGCUGGAGCUUUUGGGGUCCAGCGAUAGGAUCAAUGACCCUCCCCCUGGCAUGAUCGGCUUGUAUGAGAAAGCAUUUCAAGCUGGACUUAGGCUACCCAUCCAUCCUUUUGUUGUUGAGCCCUUUCACUUCUUCAAUAUUUUUAUUUAUUCUAUCAUCCCAAAUUCCUUCCACUUCAUCAUCGGCUUCAUUGCCAUUUGCAUCCUUACCGAAGUCCAACCAUUCAUCUCCCUCUUCUAAUCCUUCUACAUCAUAGAAAGAUAUACCAGAGACUGAUGGCAUGUCUCUUCUCCAAAGGAUAUCCCUACUUUGAUAAAAGGGGCCCCUUCUUCGAUUCAUAGGUAGAAGGAUUGAUUUUUGUUUUUUUCAAACACUUCUAUUGAGAGUUGGAGAUUUUCUUAUCGGGG